GACGAACGCUGGCGGCGUGCUUAACACAUGCAAGUCGAACGGAAAGGCCCUGCUUUUGUGGGGUGCUCGAGUGGCGAACGGGUGAGUAACACGUGAGUAACCUGCCCUUGACUUUGGGAUAACUUCAGGAAACUGGGGCUAAUACCGGAUAGGAGCUCCUGCUGCAUGGUGGGGGUUGGAAAGUUUCGGCGGUUGGGGAUGGACUCGCGGCUUAUCAGCUUGUUGGUGGGGUAGUGGCUUACCAAGGCUUUGACGGGUAGCCGGCCUGAGAGGGUGACCGGCCACAUUGGGACUGAGAUACGGCCCAGACUCCUACGGGAGGCAGCAGUGGGGAAUAUUGCACAAUGGGCGGAAGCCUGAUGCAGCAACGCCGCGUGCGGGAUGACGGCCUUCGGGUUGUAAACCGCUUUCGCCUGUGACGAAGCGUGAGUGACGGUAAUGGGUAAAGAAGCACCGGCUAACUACGUGCCAGCAGCCGCGGUGAUACGUAGGGUGCGAGCGUUGUCCGGAUUUAUUGGGCGUAAAGGGCUCGUAGGUGGUUGAUCGCGUCGGAAGUGUAAUCUUGGGGCUUAACCCUGAGCGUGCUUUCGAUACGGGUUGACUUGAGGAAGGUAGGGGAGAAUGGAAUUCCUGGUGGAGCGGUGGAAUGCGCAGAUAUCAGGAGGAACACCAGUGGCGAAGGCGGUUCUCUGGGCCUUUCCUGACGCUGAGGAGCGAAAGCGUGGGGAGCGAACAGGCUUAGAUACCCUGGUAGUCCACGCUGUAAACGGUGGGUACUAGGUGUGGGGUCCAUUCCACGGGUUCCGUGCCGUAGCUAACGCUUUAAGUACCCCGCCUGGGGAGUACGGCCGCAAGGCUAAAACUCAAAGGAAUUGACGGGGCCCCGCACAAGCGGCGGAGCAUGCGGAUUAAUUCGAUGCAACGCGUAGAACCUUACCUGGGUUUGACAUGGAUCGGGAGUGCUCAGAGAUGGGUGUGCCUCUUUUGGGGUCGGUUCACAGGUGGUGCAUGGCUGUCGUCAGCUCGUGUCGUGAGAUGUUGGGUUAAGUCCCGCAACGAGCGCAACCCUUGUUCACUGUUGCCAGCACGUUAUGGUGGGGACUCAGUGGAGACCGCCGGGGUCAACUCGGAGGAAGGUGGGGAUGACGUCAAGUCAUCAUACCCCUUAUGUCCAGGGCUUCACGCAUGCUACAAUGGCUGGUACAGAGAGUGGCGAGCCUGUGAGGGUGAGCGAAUCUCGGAAAGCCGGUCUCAGUUCGGAUUGGGGUCUGCAACUCGACCUCAUGAAGUCGGAGUCGCUAGUAAUCGCAGAUCAGCAACGCUGCGGUGAAUACGUUCCCGGGGCU
rnacentral:rRNA from 1 species